rnacentral:tmRNA from 1 species
GGGGGUGAUCGGUUUCGACAUUGGUCGGCAGACCAUGGGGAAGCGGGUCGAGGACGCACGGUUAUCUCGUUAACGAUCUGUGCAAACCAAUAGGUGCCAAUUCCAAGCGCACCGACUUCGCCCUCGCCGCCUGAGCGAGCCUCGAAGUCCGUUGGCCUGAGUUUGAUCCUGACUCAGUAACCAGCGUCAUCUAGGGAUCUUGCUGCGUCGUCAUGUCGGGGGACGGCGCGGGACUCUUACUCGACUGGGCCUGUCAGCGGACGUGUGCGCGCGAGCGCUGGGGCCGAGAAAUGCCGGAUUGCUCGCUGUCGCAAGCGGUCCACAGCGCACUGCACCCGGAGAAGCCCUGGUUUCCCGUCAGUGGACGCGGGUUCGAUUCCCGCCACCUCCACCC